GACGAACGCUGGCGGCGUGCUUAACACAUGCAAGUCGAACGGUGAUGCUCCAGCUUGCUGGAGUGGAUCAGUGGCGAACGGGUGAGUAACACGUGAGCAACCUGCCCCAGACUCUGGAAUAAGCGCUGGAAACGGCGUCUAAUACUGGAUACGAAACUGGCCCGCAUGGGCAUGGUUUGGAAAGUUUUUCGGUUUGGGAUGGGCUCGUGGCCUAUCAGCUUGUUGGUGAGGUAAUGGCUCACCAAGGCGACGACGGGUAGCCGGCCUGAGAGGGCGACCGGCCACACUGGGACUGAGACACGGCCCAGACUCCUACGGGAGGCAGCAGUGGGGAAUAUUGCACAAUGGGCGAAAGCCUGAUGCAGCGACGCCGCGUGAGGGAUGACGGCCUUCGGGUUGUAAACCUCUUUCAGCAGGGAAGAAGCGAAAGUGACGGUACCUGCAGAAGAAGCACCGGCUAACUACGUG
rnacentral:rRNA from 1 species